rnacentral:lncRNA from 1 species
GCUGUAUGGUGAAGGCAAGGCACAAGGUCUGUCCGUGGGUGAACAUGGGGCUGAUGAAUCCAUGGCCAGGAAGUCAAUUUCUACUUGGAUAGGUGAAUUUCAUGGCAAGAGAAAAACAGCGGUCCUGGAAUAACAGGAGUGAGGACCUAGAAUUUUAAUGUCUAAUAUGCGGUGUGAAUUAAAGAAGCGGCCUUGCUAUGCUGACCUUUUCAAUAUUCUAAUCUUUGCUUUGCUGACCUCUCAGGCCUCUUCCUGGCAACAGUUAGGCUUUUGAGAGGAGAGAGAGCUGAGACUGUUGGCUCCUUCCCAUUUAUGAGAGAGCCACAUGACAUCAGCCCAUAGACUGUGGAGAGUAUUCCAGAUCUAUCACAUUCUGCGAUUCUGCGAUUCCCAGAAGGCUGGUCAUGAAAAAAUUCCCUCUUCAGUUUACAUAUAUGGCAGUGGUGUCAUAAACUUUCUAAGACAGUGCCUUGCCUGAAGACUAUGAGUUUCUGUGCAUCCUAGGACCUUUAUGGAAAUUAGAUAAUUUUUGAUGAAGUUAAACAAUUAUAUUAUAAGAAACUCCUCAAAUCAAGAAUAAAUAAAAACAAGAGUAGCAUUAAAAUUUACUGCAGAGUACAUUAAUACAGUUCAAAUCUAAAUGUCUGCUCUUGCAUUUCUGUGACUUUUCAUGCCAUGCUGAAAAUCUGGAAUGGAAACUCUCAUCCAUCUUGGUGAUUUCCUAGUGCCCUGAGGAUGACUUCAUUUAAAAGCAUUUGAAGAUUUAAGUUCUUUCUGAGAUGUGCUCUUGUUUUCAGGAAUAAAAGUG